rnacentral:rRNA from 1 species
UACGUAGGUGACCAGCGUUGUCCGGAUUUACUGGGCGUAAAGAGCGCGCAGGCGGUCGUUCAAGUCGAGUGUGAAAGCCCCCGGCUCAACUGGGGAGGGUCAUUCGAUACUGAUCGACUUGAAGGCAGGAGAGGGAAGCGGAAUUCCCGGUGUAGCGGUGGAAUGCGUAGAUAUUGGGAAGAACACCGGUGGCGAAGGCGGCGACCUGGUCCUUGACUGACGCUGAGGCGCGAAAGCGUGGGGAGCAAACAGG